AUUGAACGCUGGCGGAAUGCUUUACACAUGCAAGUCGAACGGCAGCACGGGGCAACCUGGUGGCGAGUGGCGAACGGGUGAGUAAUACAUCGGAACGUGCCCAAUCGUGGGGGAUAACGUAGCGAAAGUUACGCUAAUACCGCAUACGAUCUACGGAUGAAAGCGGGGGAUCGCAAGACCUCGCGCGAAUGGAGCGGCCGAUGUCAGAUUAGGUAGUUGGUGGGGUAAAGGCUCACCAAGCCAACGAUCUGUAGCUGGUCUGAGAGGACGACCAGCCACACUGGAACUGAGACACGGUCCAGACUCCUACGGGAGGCAGCAGUGGGGAAUUUUGGGACAAUGGGCGCGAAGCCUGAUCCAGCCAUUCCGCGUGCAGGAUGAA
rnacentral:rRNA from 1 species